rnacentral:rRNA from 1 species
GCGGCAGGCCUACACAUGCAAGUCGAGGGGUAGAGGAAGCUUGCUUCCUUGAGACCGGCGCACGGGUGCGUAACGCGUAUGCAAUCUGCCUUGUACUGAGGGAUAGCCCAGAGAAAUUUGGAUUAAUACCUCAUAGCAUUAUGAAAUCGCAUGGUUUUAUAAUUAAAGUUCCAACGGUACAAGAUGAGCAUGCGUCCCAUUAGUUAGUUGGUAAGGUAACGGCUUACCAAGACGAUGAUGGGUAGGGGUCCUGAGAGGGAGAUCCCCCACACUGGUACUGAGACACGGACCAGACUCCUACGGGAGGCAGCAGUGAGGAAUAUUGGUCAAUGGACGCAAGUCUGAACCAGCCAUGCCGCGUGCAGGAUGAAGCAUCUAUGGUGUGUAAACUGCUUUUGUACGGGAAGAAACACUCCUACGUGUAGGAACUUGACGGUACCGUAAGAAUAAGGAUCGGCUAACUCCGUGCCAGCAGCCGCGGUAAUACGGAGGAUCCAAGCGUUAUCCGGAAUCAUUGGGUUUAAAGGGUCCGUAGGCGGCUUUAUAAGUCAGUGGUGAAAGCCCAUCGCUUAACGAUGGAACGGCCAUUGAUACUGUAGAGCUUGAAUUACUUGGAAGUAACUAGAAUAUGUAGUGUAGCGGUGAAAUGCUUAGAUAUUACAUGGAAUACCAAUUGCGAAGGCAGGUUACUACAAGUGGAUUGACGCUGAUGGACGAAAGCGUGGGGAGCGAACAGGAUUAGAUACCCUGGUAGUCCACGCCGUAAACGAUGGAUACUAGCUGUUCGGAGCAAUCUGAGU